AUGGUGCUGCUUCUUCUCUCAACAACUUGCAGGGACCCUGUCCCACGGCCAAGAGGAAACAAAGGGCCAAGAAGACAAACAGUAGGUGUAUUAAUAGAAGCAGCAUGUUUAGUAACUGCAGAGAAUCAGCCCUUGCAGGCACCCAGGAAUGUGCUCACUUUUUGA
rnacentral:lncRNA from 1 species